rnacentral:rRNA from 1 species
UACGGAGGGUGCAAGCGUUAAUCGGAAUUACUGGGCGUAAAGCGUGCGCAGGCGGUUUGUUAAGUCUGCUGUGAAAUCCCCGAGCUCAACUUGGGAAUUGCAGUGGAUACUGGCAGGCUGGAGUAUGGUAGAGGAAGGUGGAAUUCCCGGUGUAGCAGUGAAAUGCGUAGAGAUCGGGAGGAACACCGAUGGCGAAGGCAGCCCCCUGGGUCAAGAUUGACGCUCAUGCACGAAAGCGUGGGGAGCAAACAGG